GACGAACGCUGGCGGCGUGCUUAACACAUGCAAGUCGAACGGAAAGGCCCCAGCUUGUUGGGGUACUCGAGUGGCGAACGGGUGAGUAACACGUGGGUGAUCUGCCCUGCACUCUGGGAUAAGCCUGGGAAACUGGGUCUAAUACCGGAUAGGACCGUGCUUUAGUGUGUGCGGUGGAAAGUUUUUCGGUGCAGGAUGAGCCCGCGGCCUAUCAGCUUGUUGGUGGGGUAAUGGCCUACCAAGGCGGCGACGGGUAGCCGGCCUGAGAGGGUGUACGGCCACAUUGGGACUGAGACACGGCCCAGACUCCUACGGGAGGCAGCAGUGGGGAAUAUUGCACAAUGGGCGCAAGCCUGAUGCAGCGACGCCGCGUGGGGGAUGACGGCCUUCGGGUUGUAAACCCCUUUCGGCAGGGACGAAGCUUUUGUGACGGUACCUGCAUAAGAAGCACCGGCUAACUACGUG
rnacentral:rRNA from 1 species